CGGCAGGCCUAACACAUGCAAGUCGAGCGGAUGAAGGGAGCUUGCUCCUGGAUUCAGCGGCGGACGGGUGAGUAAUGCCUAGGAAUCUGCCUGGUAGUGGGGGAUAACGUCCGGAAACGGGCGCUAAUACCGCAUACGUCCUGAGGGAGAAAGUGGGGGAUCUUCGGACCUCACGCUAUCAGAUGAGCCUAGGUCGGAUUAGCUAGUUGGUGGGGUAAAGGCCUACCAAGGCGACGAUCCGUAACUGGUCUGAGAGGAUGAUCAGUCACACUGGAACUGAGACACGGUCCAGACUCCUACGGGAGGCAGCAGUGGGGAAUAUUGGACAAUGGGCGAAAGCCUGAUCCAGCCAUGCCGCGUGUGUGAAGAAGGUCUUCGGAUUGUAAAGCACUUUAAGUUGGGAGGAAGGGCAGUAAGUUAAUACCUUGCUGUUUUGACGUUACCAACAGAAUAAGCACCGGCUAACUUCGUGCCAGCAGCCGCGGUAAUACGAAGGGUGCAAGCGUUAAUCGGAAUUACUGGGCGUAAAGCGCGCGUAGGUGGUUCAGCAAGUUGGAUGUGAAAUCCCCGGGCUCAACCUGGGAACUGCAUCCAAAACUACUGAGCUAGAGUACGGUAGAGGGUGGUGGAAUUUCCUGUGUAGCGGUGAAAUGCGUAGAUAUAGGAAGGAACACCAGUGGCGAAGGCGACCACCUGGACUGAUACUGACACUGAGGUG
rnacentral:rRNA from 1 species